AGUAACGCGUGGGUAACCUGCCUCGUACAGGGGGAUAACAGUUAGAAAUGACUGCUAAUACCGCAUGAGCGCACAGUGCUGCAUGGCACAGUGUGAAAAGCUCCGGUGGUAUGAGAUGGACCCGCGUCUGAUUAGGUAGUUGGUGGGGUAACGGCCUACCAAGCCGACGAUCAGUAGCCGACCUGAGAGGGUGACCGGCCACAUUGGGACUGAGACACGGCCCAA
rnacentral:rRNA from 1 species